rnacentral:misc_RNA from 1 species
CCGAGUUUACAACUCCCAAAACCCCUGUGAACAUACCUAUCGUUGCUUUCGGCGGAUCCGCCCCCGGCGCCCUCGGGCCCGGAUCAGGCGCCCGCCCGGAGACCCCCAAACUCUUGUAUUUCUUUAGUAUCUUCUGAGUAAACAAGCAAAAUAAAUUAAAA